GAUCAACGCUGGCGGCGUGCCUAACACAUGCAAGUCGAACGCGAAAGGGGACUUCGGUUCCUGAGUGGAGUGGCGUACGGGUGAGUAACGCGUGGGUCAUCUGCCCUCGGGUGGGGAAUAACUAAUCGAAAGGUUAGCUAAUACCGCAUAACACAGUGAUGUCAAAGCAGCAAUGUGCCUGAGGAGGAGCCUGCGUCUGAUUAGGUAGUUGGUGGGGUAACGGCCUACCAAGCCUGCGAUCAGUAGCUGGUCUGAGAGGACGGCCAGCCACAAUGGCACUGAAACACGGGCCAUACUCCUACGGGAGGCAGCAGUGGGGAAUUUUGUCGCAAUGGGCGAAAGACCUGACGCAGCAACGCCGCGUGAGGGAUGAAAUAUUUCGGUAUGUAAACCUCGCAAUAUGGAAGAACACAAUGACGGUACCAUAUGUAAGCCACGGCUAACUUCGUGCCAGCCGCCGCAGU
rnacentral:rRNA from 1 species